AAGUCGUAACAAGGUCUCCGUAGGUGAACCUGCGGAGGGAUCAUUAACAAAAAAAAUAAAAAUAAAAUUUUCCAAAUUGCCUUCAUUGGUAAUUGGCCGAUUUUACUUUUUUUUUCAAAAAACACAACGCGAACCAUGUGACUGACCGAUCUAGCAAGCAAUUGCUCGCUCGGCUUUUUUUCACUAACAACCAAUUUCACCCUUUUUUUUUAUUUUUAUUGAUAAAAAAAGCCAAAACAAAUAUCAAAAACUGAAAAGUUGGAAUUUAAUUUCUAAUAUUUUUUUCACAAAAAGAAAAACAAAAUUAAAGCACAACUCUUAGCAACGGAUAUCUUGGUUCUC
rnacentral:misc_RNA from 1 species